rnacentral:misc_RNA from 1 species
UGCGGCUGGAUCCCCUCCUUUCUAGAGCGUAAGCCUUUGAGCACCUACAGCCUAUCGGUUGUCUAAGCCAGACAGACGCGGGUCUGUAGCUCAGCUGGUUAGAGCACCGUCUUGAUAAGGCGGGGGUCGUUGGUUCGAACCCAACCAGACCCACCAUCUAACGACGAGCUGAACGACGAAGCUGAAGCACCCGAGGGGGGCAUAGCUCAGUUGGGAGAGCGCCUGCUUUGCAAGCAGGAGGUCGUCGGUUCGAUCCCGUCUGCCUCCACCAGGAACUGCGGAAAGUCGAUAUCAAAGCGUUGAGGCUUUGAUAUCGGUUUUUAACUGAUGGCUGUUGAGAUCUUUAACAAAUUGGAAGAAGUAAAGUGUUCGGCUCCAGGAAUGGAGUCGUACAUGGGUUGUGAUUGCAUUCUUCGGUGCCGUGUGCGAACCGGCCGCGGCACUGGAAACAAGCGCGAGUUGCUUGAUCGGAGGUCUGGCGGGAGUCAGAGCUCAAAGUUAUAGGGUCAAGUGACUAAGUGCAUGUGGUGGAUGCCUUGGCGAUUACAGGCGAUGAAGGACGUUGUAGCGUGCGAAAAGCUUCGGGGAGCCCGCAAACAGGCUUUGAUCCGAAGAUGUCCGAAUGGGGAAACCCGG